UUUGGUGGCGAUAGCGAAGAGGUCACACCCGUUUCCAUACCGAACACGGAAGUUAAGCUCUUCAGCGCCGAUGGUAGUUGGGGGUUUCCCCCUGUGAGAGUAGGACGCCGCCAAGC
rnacentral:rRNA from 1 species